AGCUAGCUUGCAUAAAUUGGUUACCAUGGAGACAGAGGUCCAGAUUGAGACUUACUGAGAACAAGAUGGAAAUGUUCAUACUUGAAAACAAAAGCAAGAACAGCUGUGCUGACUAGGUAUGCCAUAACAUUUAUGGACACAUUGAUACUGAAGAAAAAGAAAAAAGACUGUUUUGCCUCAGUAAGGAGAGUUGGAGGGUUUGGAAGGAGAGAGCAGACUGAAGUUUUUAUUUGACCUGUAACUGCAAGGAUACCCUGAGGCAUGGUACAUUGGUGAGACUGAGCAGAUGCUAUGACAAUGGAUGAAUGGACACUACACAACAAUCACCAGGCAAGGGUGAUCUCUCCCAUUUGGGGAACACUUUGGCGGUCAGGGACAUUGGGCCUUGGACCUUCGGGUGACCAUCCUCCAAGGUGGACUUCGGGACAAGCAACAACGCCAAGUGGCCGAACAGAGGCUGAUAGCGAAGUUCGGUACCUAUGGGGAUGGCCUCAACUGGGAUCUUG